UACGGGAGCAGCAGUAGGGAAUAUUGCACAAUGGGGGAAACCCUGAUGCAGCGACGCCGCGUGAGUGAUGAAGUAUUUCGGUACGUAAAACUCUAUCAGCAGGGAAGAUAAUGACGGUACCUGACUAAGAAGCCCCGGCUAACUACGUGCCAGCAGCCGCGGUAAU
rnacentral:rRNA from 1 species